GGAAAAAAUACCAAAUGUGCAGUUUUAAUGUUGCCACAUGGUAACAAUAGAGGAUAAUUCACCUGAGAUUAUUAAGUGCAAUGGAUUGUCCACAAGGGAGAACAUUUCUAAGCCAGUACACAGCUCAGUGAAAGGCCAAUGAAACGGCAUCUGCUGUUGACCUGUUGUGACAGUAGACAAACUGGAGAAGAUCCAGGUCUCUCCUCAGGCAAGAUUUGAUAUGCUUCACAACCAGCUUCUCGAAGCUCUUCAUCACAGUGCUACUGGAUGAUAGUCAUUGAGAUCCAAAUUGGACGGUACACAGCAAGCAAUUGGAUCAGAGUUUGUAUCAGUAGAUUAAAAGGCUCAAAGGUUCAUUUUAUUGUCAAAAUAUUCAUGUACAAUACAACUCUGAUAUUCAUCUUCUCCAGAUAGCCAUGAAAUACAGAAAAACCAUGGGCGUUUUUGAAAGAAAAGACAACAAGUACCAACCCCCCUGCACAAAAAAUCAAAACAAAGCUCAGAAACAAACCCCAGAAACCCUCUCCCUCACAGAGGAAAAAACAUUGACAAUAAUAUAAAAUUCCCAACCUCCUCCUCCUCAAAAAAAUCAGACAAAUAGCAUCAAAUCCCUGACACCUUCCCUCAAAGAAAAGCACAGCAACAAGAUAGUCAAAUCCCCAACACACAAAAAAAAUAACAGAUUCAUCCACAUGGAAAAACACCAAGAAAAUCGUACCCCAAAUCCCUAGCCCCUUCCUCUCACAAAAGCUAACAUAUUGCACACCUGCCAAUAGGCCACCAGAAAGAAAACACUGAAAAGCUGAAUGAGACCAAUAUAAAGUAGUCCAAUAAUCACAUAAAUCUCAGAAUAUCAAAAACAUCUCGUCAUCAUACAAGGAGAGCAGCCACCCAAACUCAGACCUUCCACGAGAAGCAUCCGGCACACUGGGUCUGAUCACUGCUGACCUGGCUGCCAACUGUCACCGCCCACAAGACCCCCAUUAAGAGGAAUUGCUGACCCCCUCCACAAUCCCCUGUGUGCUUCAAUCUUCCUGAAUAUUUGACAUGGUGCCCCGUCUCUCAUUGUUCCAGUUCAUUUUCUCAGUCUGUUUUGAAACCCUGUCUCUGGUCUUCUCCUUGAGGCAGCUCUCUGGAUACAGCAGAGUGCAAAGUCAUUUGAUCGAUUUCAAAACCGCAAGUCACAGCCUCUAACAGUUUCGGUAACACAAUCAAGACAAAAAGAACAA